rnacentral:lncRNA from 1 species
GAGUAUUAAACUUGGUUAUAAAUGUCUUGAUUUUUGCAAUAUAUGAUUUUUUAUAAAUCUUAACCAAUUUGCAUUCAAAUGUUUUUCUUUAAGUUUACAUUUCAUCAAUAAAAGUCUAUUAAUGUUGCACGAAAAUUUUAAAAUGUUUCAUUUUGAAAUAAAAUUAUUUUCUAAACUAAUAGAUUAAUAAGGAAUAGAAGUAUCGGAGUAGUCUUUAGUGUUAGAUUCGUAAGCCAAAUUGAUGUAUCGAUUACAAAAUGUUAAGGUUAACCAUCUAAAGUUAAACUAUGUAGUACCAACAAAACAAUUACUCUUGUUUAAUCGACACAAUCUUGGAUACUACCAAAGCAUUUCCUAAUCUUCUUCAUGAUGUUUUGCUCAUUGAUCUCGACAAGAGUUCUAGCUCUCCUCUCUACAUUUUUGUAUCUAGGUUCGGUCUAAUAGAAAAUUCAAAGCCCUAGAGAAAUUUGUACUUUAAUCUGGAUCUUAUUGUGGAGAAAAGAUCCCACAUCGGAAGAUGUGAGAGGACUUCAGUAAUAUAUAAGGGAUUAGGGUCAAUCCACUCAUUGCCAAUUGGUUUUGAGUUGGAAGCCCGUAACAAACCCUAAUUUAACACUUAUACUUUAUGCACACACUGAAAAUUUUAUACUUUCG